GUGGUGGUACUCUGAAGAAAUAAUAAGUUCAAAACUUAUUUAUUUUUAGGAAAUGAAGCUUAUGGAGUUAUGUUUCCAAAUCACAGAGAAGCCUGCGAGAACAGUAUUGCUGCAAUAGCCUAGCAUAAUUGCUAAAGAGCACAAUGAUAAACACGACUGAGGACAUUAUACCGUAUUCUCUCCACAGAUGUAAAUAAGGAUCAUUUUUCUGAUAUAAUUACGUGUUCUUCUUUCUCAAUGUCUAUGUUCACUAAUUGUUCCUUUGAUAAUCCAUUUUCUUCUGCAUCUCUAGAUUAAAGUUUGUGCAACAAGAUAAGAAUGACGACAAUGAUGGCCAUCGAUUAUAAUGUCAAUGCCUUAACAUACAAGUAGUCAUUCGACAUGGAAGUGAAAAUACAUCACUCAAGCCUCUGUCCAACAAGAUUUGUACAUAAGAAGACAAAAAAUUGCAACUCACCUAGGAUACUUGAACAGCAUGAUGUGCAAAGCAUAGCCAGGAAAUCUCCUUNNN
rnacentral:lncRNA from 1 species